GUGCUAAGGUAGCAUAAUCAUUUGCCUCUUAAUUAGAGGCUUGUAUGAAGGAAUAAACGUGGGUAUAGCUGUUUCACUUUUUUUAAUAGAAAUUAUUUUUCAGGUGAAGAAACCAGAAUUAUUUAAAAAGACAAAAAGACCCUAUGGAGCUUUAUUUAUUAAAAGUACAUUUUAAGAAAACUUGUUUUUCCUACUUUUAUUAAAUUUUGUUGGGGCGACAAAAGAAGAUCUAAAUCUUCUUUAAACCAAUUAGAAUACACUUCAUUUAUUUUGAUCCAUUUUAUAUGAUUAACGAAGUUAG
rnacentral:rRNA from 1 species